UUGUAAACUAAGCAAGCUUUAGGUUUUUAGCAGUUCCCGAACCAUAACACGGGUUUAACCUCCCGGUUAGGACUUUCAGGCUGAUCCCACUUCAACAGAAGAAGGAGGGGAUGGAUUCCAACCUGAUCAGUUAUUCAGCAGCCAGCUAAGGGCUCC